AAAGAUAUCGAGAAGAGCAUCUGUCAGGGCACAAUUAAUAUACAAAAACUUCAUACAGCCUGCACUCAUUGUAAGACCAAACCAUCAUAUAGCCAAUUUCUCAUGAGAACAAAAGCCUGCUCUGAAUCUCUAUCUUCUUCAGGGGAGUUAGGACGAUGGGCAAAGCCAUGACCUCUUCCCUGGAAGACGACUACCCUUGACCCCUGACAGAUGCUCUUCUCGAUAUCUUU
rnacentral:misc_RNA from 1 species